UACGUAGGGGCCAAGCGUUGUCCGGAUUUAUUGGGCGUAAAGAGCUCGUAGGCGGUCUGUCGCGUCGGAUGUGAAAACCCAGGGCUCAACCCUGGGCCUGCAUUCGAUACGGGCAGACUAGAGUUCGGUAGGGGAGACUGGAAUUCCUGGUGUAGCGGUGAAAUGCGCAGAUAUCAGGAGGAACACCGGUGGCGAAGGCGGGUCUCUGGGCCGAAACUGACGCUGAGGAGCGAAAGCGUGGGGAGCAAACAGG
rnacentral:rRNA from 1 species